rnacentral:misc_RNA from 1 species
AACCAUAGAAACCUGCGGAGUACCUGCGGAAGGAUCAUUACAGAGUGUAACCCCCUGUAAAAUGGGGGUACCUCCCGUCCUUUGCAGGCCCUUUAGGGUCUUUUACACUUUGCUUCGGUGGGGUAACCCACCGGAACGCUCUCAAAAAAUUCUGAUUUUAAAAUUGUUCAGUCUGAGAAUUUUGAAAAUAAAAUAAAAACUUUCAACAAUGGAUCU